UACGAAGGGGGGCUAGCGUUGCUCGGAAUCACUGGGCGUAAAGGGCGCGUAGGCGGGCUCUUAAGUCAGGGGUGAAAUCCUGGAGCUCAACUCCAGAACUGCCUUUGAUACUGGCAACCUAGAGACUGGAAGAGGUUAGUGGAAUUCCCAGUGUAGAGGUGAAAUUCGUAGAUAUUGGGAAGAACACCAGUGGCGAAGGCGGCUAACUGGUCCCAGCACUGACGCUGAGGUGCGAAAGCGUGGGGAGCAAACAGG
rnacentral:rRNA from 1 species